UACAUUUGCGUGUACGCGGCUAUCUA
rnacentral:piRNA from 1 species